GUGAACACUGGCGGUAGGCCUAACACCUGCAAGUCGAACGGCAGCACAGGAGAGCUUGCUCUCUGGGUGGCGAGUGGCGGACGGGUGAGGAAUACAUCGGAAUCUGCCCAGUCGUGGGGGAUAACGUAGGGAAACUUACGCUAAUACCGCAUACGACCUUCGGGUGAAAGAGGGGGAUCGCAAGACCUCUCGCGAUUGGAUGAGCCGAUGUCGGAUUAGCUAGUUGGCGGGGUAAUGGCCCACCAAGGCGACGAUCCGUAGCUGGUCUGAGAGGAUGAUCAGCCACACUGGAACUGAGACACGGUCCAGACUCCUACGGGAGGCAGCAGUGGGGAAUAUUGGACAAUGGGCGCAAGCCUGAUCCAGCCAUACCGCGUGGGUGAAGAAGGCCUUCGGGUUGUAAAGCCCUUUUGUUGGGAAAGAAAUCUUUCAGGCUAAUACCCUGGGAGGAUGACGGUACCCAAAGAAUAAGCACCGGCUAACUUCGUG
rnacentral:rRNA from 1 species